UUGCUGGGGGAUUAGUGGCGAACGGGUGAGUAACACGUGAGUAACCUGCCCUUGACUCUGGGAUAAGCCUGGGAAACUGGGUCUAAUACCGGAUAUGACCAUUCCACGCAUGUGGUGGUGGUGGAAAGCUUUUGUGGUUUUGGAUGGACUCGCGGCCUAUCAGCUUGUUGGUGGGGUAAUGGCCUACCAAGGCGACGACGGGUAGCCGGCCUGAGAGGGUGACCGGCCACACUGGGACUGAGACACGGCCCAGACUCCUACGGGAGGCAGCAGUGGGGAAUAUUGCACAAUGGGCGCAAGCCUGAUGCAGCGACGCCGCGUGAGGGAUGACGGCCUUCGGGUUGUAAACCUCUUUCAGUAGGGAAGAAGCGAAAGUGACGGUACCUGCAGAAGAAGCGCCGGCUAACUACGUGCCAGCAGCCGCGGUAAUACGUAGGGCGCAAGCGUUAUCCGGAAUUAUUGGGCGUAAAGAGCUCGUAGGCGGUUUGUCGCGUCUGCUGUGAAAGACCGGGGCUCAACUCCGGUUCUGCAGUGGGUACGGGCAGACUAGAGUGCAGUAGGGGAGACUGGAAUUCCUGGUGUAGCGGUGAAAUGCGCAGAUAUCAGGAGGAACACCGAUGGCGAAGGCAGGUCUCUGGGCUGUAACUGACGCUGAGGAGCGAAAGCAUGGGGAGCGAACAGGAUUAGAU
rnacentral:rRNA from 1 species